GUGAUGCCUGUCUGUUUUGCGUUCACUUGGAACACUUCAGUCUGUAUUUAGCUAAUUUAUGUGAGGCUGAAAUCAAUUCAGUCCGCUCAAUCAAUUUAAUUUAAAACGGUUAUAGAAGACGUCGCUUAUCUAGUGUAUUCAUUGUUGUAAAUAACACUGCUUCAUAUCGAAAUACUUGAUUUGCUGCUCGGGUAAAUUUAGCAGUUCACUUAGAAAUAGAGAGUAUUGAUAUUUAAUUUGAUAAUAAGACACUGAGGUAGGCAGUGUCAUAAUAGUCUUGCAUACUCCAUUAACUGUAUAUUUAAAAAAAGUAAAAGUGAAAAUUACACAUUUCAGUGAUAUAACUCAUCAAGUCGUCAAAACCCGGACUAUUCACAGACUUUAAAAUAUACAACAAAAACCAAAAGUUAAGCCUAAUAUACUGUCCUGUUCAUGUUUCACCCAAAUCUAGCAAAAAUGUUUGAAGCGUUGGAUUUCUUCAGUAGUAUAAAGGGUGCUAGUGUAAAAACAGAUUUUUUGAAAGGCAACUCAUUUAAUUAAUGAUGAGAGAGCAGUUGGGGGCAGCAAGCUAGUAAAACUGUAUGAUAAAUUAAUGGCAUUGUUAGCGCGCUUUUAAUUACGGCUAUUAUGUUAAUUAUUUUACAUCAACGCAGAAUUAUCAGCAUGUCAGAUUUAAUCAAAACGAGCUAUUCUCCGGAAAACUGUUCUUUUCAUCUCUAAGGGGAAAUAUCCACGUCAUAUUUUCGUUAAAAAUGACUUUUCAUUUAAAUGUAAUCGUUAAUUAGUUUUUUUUCCACAGUAGACAUCGUUGUUCCCUCAAGGCUGUACCCUCCAGAAGGCAAGAUCGCUGCCUUUUUUUGGAAUUCACCAUUUUCACCCCCUUGAAGAAUCCACUCUAUCAACCUGCAACUUUCUGUCAAACAAUAUGAUGUAGCUCAUUUUUAACCGUCCCUUUUGUAGAAUCAUCUUGGAGCGGCUCACCGUCACAACAAUGCACAAAAGGACAAAACAGAAAAUGUGUGUCGCGUUCCCCAAAUACGUCUGAAUAACGACACAAUUGCUAUAGAAGCCUAUACAAAAUAAGAAAUGACAAGGCACCGGGUUAAAGCCAAUGGAAAACAACUUCAAUAAUGUAUAAUAACAUGGACUUGCGAUGAUUCGAUUGGAAUUUCAUUCUGCAAAACGUUACAUUUUAAUGAAAGGGAACGCAGUUAGAAUCAUUUUCCAAACGAAAACCGGUCGUUGCCAAGUGAUAAUAAGGUCGACUUCGAAGUCGCUAAAUAUUAUUAUAUGUAUCUGCAGCUACAUGGACUUUAUUCUGUCACAAUAUGCUUAACAUCAAUUUUCGUUUUAUUCUUUUCGAUUCAUUAAGUAAGUUAUUGAUCAACUUGCUGAUUUAGCACUCCCAUUCAAUCAAACUUAAAUUGGGCUAUUCCAUUAUUUACCUCUACUUUUCAAUAGCCAACAGAAACAAAAUAUAACAGUUUUAUUUUUUUAUUUAUUUAUACAUUUUUUCGUCCAGUUCAAUAUGAGUAAAACCAAAAUGCCUAAUUGGUUUUAUCAAAACGAUGGCUUGUUCAUUGGUUUACUGGAAAACGAUUAAAUUCUUCCCCACCCAAAAACACAGCAAAACUCGAAAAUCUGAGGGUAACUUUGGCAAUUUGAAACGCGGGAGUAUUUCAGAGAUGCUCGUUUGCAGUAGCUGUCAUUUAGGCCUACAAUUGAGAAUUCAUCCAUAUUGCAGACUUCAAACAGUAAAAGUGCUAAUUCAACUCAGAGUAUACAAGAGUCCAAUCGGGAUCAUAUGCACUCCGUAAGAGUUAAUUUAACAUUGAACAUUCUACAGUCAAAUGAGAAUUUGGUUCGAAUUCAUCAACAAUUCACGUCCUCAAUAUAAUUGGACAGUAGCCAAUUAAAAAAUAUUUCAAGACAAAAAUAAAAAAACUUUUAAAUUAUUAAUAUGUUUAUUUUCAUAAGGAGACGCAUUGCUAUUAGGCUAUGUUUGACACAAGACAAAAUAGGUUUAAUUGUAUAUUCAUCUAUCCUUCAGGUCUUGUUUUAAACAGUGUAAUGUCAAUAGCAGGUAGCUAUGCUCAUUUGGAUUAUUUGAUAAAUAAUUUCAAAAACAAUAUUUCUAUUGAUUACACUUUACCACUCUGACAAGAUUAGCAUCAACAAUUAAUUAUCUUGUUAAUACUGGAAGAUGCUUUACCUAACAUAUUGUUUUGAUUUCCUGGGUGACUCCCCACCUCCGCCACCAACCUGACUGUGCAAGUGAAAUCAAGUCUACUAAUUGAAGUGUAAAAAAUCUCUGGCUUUCGCCAAAGUGGGUGUCCGACAGUCAUGCUGAUGGAUGGAAAGAAAUUAGAACAUGCAUUGCGUUGUUUCGGGUUCGGAUUUUUAAAAAAUGCCAUGAUAGGUUUACAAAGCUUUAAUUGAAAGUAAUGUUGAUUGUUGAUUGUGUGUGCGUGAGAGAGAGAGAGAGAGAGAGAGAGAGAGCGCGCGCGCGUGUUUUUUUUUUUUUUUUGGCCGGGGGGGGGGGGGGGGGGUCGUUUGUUUGCUUGUGUGUUUAUUUAUUCACAAACAAUCAACUUAGGCCUACAUUUUGCCAUGGUAUAAUGUAGCUAAUGUCAGUGGGCUGGAACGGUUGUGCCGUUGAACAAGAAAAGACCAUUCGUUCAGCAGAAGAUCGGCAGACCUACAUGAUCCAAGUAGGCUCAAGGCGGGGCGUGGUGUGGUGAUUGGUGGGAAAAUGACACCUGGACGUAAAUGUGAGCUGGAUUAACAUGCCAAUGUGUCUUGUUAAGUUGGGCACAUCCAGGGACUUUCCGUGGCCCAUGGGGACCCGUUUCAAAAUUCUAUCAUGAGGUUCCCUCCGCUCCUUUAACCACUGCCCCACCAGCCACUUGCCCAUAUGAGCCUACAGCACUUGAAUUUCCACGCCGCCAAGGCUUAAAUAAAUGCUGAACAUUAUUCACACAAAAAAAAAA